rnacentral:sRNA from 1 species
AACCACGACGCCACGCCGGUAUACCGGUA